rnacentral:rRNA from 1 species
AUUGAACGCUGGCGGCAGGCCUAACACAUGCAAGUCGAGCGGAGCGGCGGACGGGUGAGUAAUGUCUGGGAAACUGCCUGAUGGAGGGGGAUAACUACUGGAAACGGUAGCUAAUACCGCAUACUAUCAGAUGAGCCUAGGUCGGAUUAGCUAGUUGGUGGGGUAAAGGCCUACCAAGGCGACGAUCCGUAACUGGUCUGAGAGGAUGAUCAGUCACACUGGAACUGAGACACGGUCCAGACUCCUACGGGAGGCAGCAGUGGGGAAUAUUGGACAAUGGGCGAAAGCCUGAUCCAGCCAUGCCGCGUGUGUGAAGAAGGUCUUCGGGUUGUAAAGUACUUUCAGCGGGGAGGCGUUACCCGCAGAAGAAGCACCGGCUAACUCCGUGCCAGCAGCCGCGGUAAUAC